ensembl:snoRNA
GGGGUGCACUCAGAGCAGGGGACCUGAGGAAAUGACUCCUCUGUUUACAACACACCCAACAGGAAUCUGGGUUCAUUGUGAUGAGGGGCACAAAACUUGAGGCCUUUCUAUGAACACAUACCCUACACGU